UACGGGGGGAGCAAGCGUUGUUCGGAUUUACUGGGCGUAAAGGGCGCGUAGGCGGCCACCGCAAGUCAAUUGUGAAAUCUCCGGGCUUAACUCGGAAAGGUCAACUGAUACUGCGGGGCUAGAGUGCGGAAGGGGCAACUGGAAUUCUCGGUGUAGCGGUGAAAUGCGUAGAUAUCGAGAGGAACACCUGCGGCGAAGGCGGGUUGCUGGGCCGACACUGACGCUGAGGCGCGAAAGCUAGGGGAGCAAACAGG
rnacentral:rRNA from 1 species